UUUUUUUACACAUUCUGUAAAAUCACAUGAUUUGAAGGUUUUAAUUUCACAAGUGAUUAGUCAGGUAGAAAUAGAAACCGGUUUGAAAAUACUGUGUACUGUGUGUGACCAAGGUGCUACAAACCGUGCUGCUAUUAACUUACUUUGUAGGGAAAA
rnacentral:lncRNA from 1 species